UGGCGGACGGGUGAGUAACGCGUGGAUAGCCUGCCGUAUACAGGGGGAUAACACUUAGAAAUAGGUGCUAAUACCGCAUAAGCGCACGGUUCCGCAUGGAACAGUGUGAAAAACUCCGGUGGUAUACGAUGGAUCCGCGUCUGAUUAGCCAGUUGGCGGGGUAACGGCCCACCAAGCGACGAUCAGUAGCCGGCCUGAGAGGGUGAACGGCCACAUUGGGACUGAGACACGGCCCAAACUCCUACGGGAGGCAGCAG
rnacentral:rRNA from 1 species